UCGUUCCUUUUUUUAUCCUUCUUUUCUGGUAUAAUUCCCUUUUUUUUUUGUCUUUUUUUUUUAUUUUUUUUAUUUGUUUGUGAGUUUCUGUCCAUUUGUGACGGAUCUUGCUAUUUUAAUUUUAUAGUUUGUGUUAUUUUUCUUGGUAUUUCUAUUCGGUUUUUACAGGGACAGAUAUGGCGAUUUUGAUGUGUUCGUCUGAAUUCUCAAGAAACCACCACAUGAUGAGUGUCACACGAAGACCUAUACAUAUGGCUGUUUGUGGGCAUCUAUCUAUGGUGGCUUGGAGUUCCGAAUGAUUGUGAAUUCAAGGUUGCUAAGUCGUAUAGAUGCGUAAGCUGAAGACUAAUCAUAUCAAGUGUAUGAUGAUGGGAUAGCUGGUUUUGUGUUUGGAUGAUGUAAAGGCAUCAGGAAGGAUGGCGCAGGAUUCAUUCAUUGAUGUUGUGUGAUCCACCGACCUUUGCCAUGACAGGUGCGCUUGCAUGGCAGGUCACCCAUACCCUAAUAAAAUUAUUCAUUUUUUUGGUUUCCGGGGGAGGUUGCACGGGGAUUUUGCCCGGGGUCUCCUCCACUGUGUGUUGUGUGUCUUUGUGUUGCUUUUCCAUAUUUCCUUUUGUCUCCUGGUAUCUCAAUCUCGCACGAGCAACAAUAGCAACAAUUUCAGCAAUAUGAAGGUUCAUGAUCAAAGCAACGAUACAUCUUCAGGUACACAAGCUUUAAUUUAACCCUGAAAAAAAAACUUUAAUUUAUGAAUCAUUAUUUCAUUAAUUAUGAUUAGAUAAAAAAUUUAUUUUUUCAAUACACUUUAAUAUAAGUUAUUACUAGAUUCAACGAAAGUGAAGUCUCAAUUUAGUUCUUCAAAUUGCAGAAUUUUAUUGAUAUGCAUCCAAGUCCUUAACCGUGUUAAUCAUCAUACAUCCAUUAUGUUGGAGUGUUUUUUAUAUGCGGUAAAUCAAACAUUUUUGGUUUUAAUAGGCCUCAUCUGUAUAAAUUUUGUGACCAAUUUCAAAAUAUUUGAAAUAUAUAAUUUAUUAUAAAUAGUUAAAAGUCUAGUAUAUAAAAGUGUCCGAAAUUUAUAGUAAUACAGAAUUGGCUCCCAAUGGACACUCAUGAUUUGUACGGUGGCUGUCUCUCUCAAAUCUGGGUAGAUGCAUAAACUUAAAAACGAGAGCUGUCAAAAUUUUUAAACUUUACGUCCAAUACAAUAGCAUAGCAUGGUACAGUUGUUAAUUACUGCCAAUUCUUUCCGUUUAUUAAUGCCAGUUUAUGUUCCCAUUUGUUAUGUUUCUUUGGCAAGCUUGAAAUUUGUUCCGAAUAUCCUUGUGCAAUGGUGAACUGAAUAAGAACUUAUACUGAUUGAGUAGCAAUUGUCGCAAAGUGUAAUCCAGUUCGUAGUAUUUGUAGUGUAACAUUAGGUUGAUAUGUGUUUUAUAUGUAAGAAAAAGUUUGCUUUGGCUUGUAUUCUGGCGGGGUAUAUGUUUUUGCUUCUUGGAGAUGACCAAUGCCUGCAGCGGUCCGGUUGUGGUGAAGGCAGAGCUGGAGAGCCGAGGAAGUACUGGUCAGAUGUUUAUUCAUGAACUUGGAGGACAUGCCAAUCCUUUCUGUAGCACUCUCGUCAAAGAAACUCAUCAGACUCGCGACGACUACAAUUGCAUUGGUACAAUUGUUUUCAUGCCAAUCCUUUAUGUUAAUUCAUUUCAGUCAAGUCAGUCUCCAUUUGCUAUAUUUCUUUGGGUAUAUUUUUGAUAAGAGAACUGAUUUUGAUUAUAUUUUGAAGUUCUUGUAUUGUAUCAUAUACUAUAUGUUUUAUGGAGGGAUAUUUUUAAUUGAGAACUGAUUUUGAUUAUAUUUUGAAGUUCUUGUAUUGUAUCAUAUACUAUAUGUUUUAUGGAGAGGUAUACUUUUAAUAGAGAACUGAUUUUGAUUAUAUUUGGAAGUUCUUGUAUUGUAUCAUAUAAUACCUUGUGAGACACACGCGCAAAGCUCUGCAAGUGUUUAGCUGUGGGAUCAAAUGGUGGAGCUGUUCAACAAGUAGUUGGAUAGUUUGGGCAUUACAAGCUUUUAUAUGAUCAAUCGAGUUGGAACAAAAGUUGGGCAACGCUUGGAGAGAAGAAGAGCUUUUUUUGCUGCAAAAAUCACAGAUUGGAUGGUUGAAUCAUUGGGGACACGAAUACAAAAAAACACAAAUUCGUAGAAAGAAAAAUAAGAUAUUUGGGAUUGAGGAUCGAUGUGGUAAGGAUUCCAAAGAUGAUAUCCGCAAGGUUGAUGAAGGCUAUUUCCAAAAUCUUUUUGCUGCCUUUCCAUGUUUGGAUGAUUUAACUUUUUGGAAUUUGGUGGCGCCCAAGGUGACUUCAACAAUGAACCGCGAGCUGCUGCGCGAGGGGACCAGUGAUGAACUUUGUUUGCAGUGGUAAGCAUGAGGCCUUAUAAAGCCUUAGGCCCGGACGGGUUUACUCCUUUGUUUUUUCAGACUAAAUAGGAUGUGCUAAAGAUGGAUCUGGCUAAAGGUUUCAAUUUACCACUUGUCUAAACUCCACCAACCUGGUUCUGAUCCCAAAAGUUUCUCACCCUACUUUAAUCAUGAAUUUUAGACCAAUUGCACUAUGCAAUCUGGCAUAUAAGAUUUUUUCGAAAGCCCUUACAAAUAGACACAAACCUUUUUUUCCUCUCCUUAUUAGCGAAUCCCAGAGCGCUUUUGUCCCUAACACCUAAUUCGUGAUAACAUUUUGAUUGCUCAUGACCUUUUACAUGUUCUCAAAUUGAAAAAACAUGGUGAUUCUUGUUACAUAGCUGUCAAAUUGGAUAUGGCAAAGGCUUAUAAUAGAAUGAACUGGUCUUUUCUGUGCAAGUUCAUAAGUUUGUUGGGGUUUCAUCAAAGAUGGGUUAAUUUAAUUAUGGAAUGCAUUAGCACUAUUUCAUACUCUGUGCUAUUAAAUGGAGAAAAAGGAGAUUGUUUUACUCCUUUCAGAAGCCUGCAACAAGGAGAUCCCAUUUGACCAUACUUGUUCCUUUUUUGUACUGAAGGUUUAUCCCUGCUAUUUCAUAAAUGUUCGAGAAGGAAAAAAAUUUUGGGGCUGAAAAUGGGUCAGGGUUGCCAUCAAAUUUCUCACUUACUAUUCGCCGAUGACGCCUUACUUUUCUGUAGAGCUGCAAAUUCUUUUGAAGUGCAGUGUAACGACCCGGUCAUUUACCUCCCUUUCCUUUUUCCUGAAAUUUUACGAAUGAAUUUUUUUCGUUUAAUUUUCCUUUUUGAAUUCUGUUUCUUGUCGCUUAGUGUCAUCUCGAGUGCUUGGAAAUGAUUUCUGAGACUCUUUUCCGUGGAUUGACAACUUCCUUUGAAAAUCGAGUCAUUUCUGCAUUUUCACUUUUCAGACAUUAUGCGCUAUUUCGUCCUUUUCCCUAUUCUGUCUUAUCUCCGUUUGUCACUUAUUUGACAAAACCUCAUUUUUCAUGCUCGGAGUUAGUUUUUGACUUCACGUACCUUCAUCUUCAGUGGUUUCCUCGAAAUACGUAUCCUUACUUUUGCGAGAAAGUAUUCUGGUUGCUCCCGGUGUCCACAGGGGCAUGGAUGCAUAGUUCUUUGGAAUUAUUUUCUUUUCUUGGGGUGUUUUUCAUAAAUAUCUUUUGAAGAUAUUUUAUUUCAGGGGUAUCUAAGAAAAUAUUUUUGAAAGAUAUUUUCAUUCUGGGGCAUUAGUGCAGUUAACCCUUUUUGGAGGGGCCAUUGUGCAAUUAACGAAAGUUAUUGCAAAAAUAUCUCGUCUGGAGCCUGAAUCCUCGUACGGGAUUCAUUUUCACAUUUUGUCGAGUCGUGUACUCUUAGAAUUCCGUUUUGGUCAUUUUUCUCCAGUUUCAGAGUUUUUGACCCCGGUUGCCGCCAAACUUGUUCGGGGCAUAUCUCUCUGCUCGGUACUCAAUUUUUGACGCCGUUUCUUCCGUUGUUCAUGCUUUCUCAUUUAGAAUCUUUUUUGUUUAUAGAGUUUUGCUGUUUGAGUGCAUUUGCUCAAAAUCCACUUUUCCAGACCCGGCGGGGCCCUUUCAGGGCACUUUUUGAGAUUUUCUAUAAAUAGGGGGUCUAAAGAAGAAGAGUCAGAUUUUCUUCUCUCUCUCCUCUCUCUUGGCCGGCAGCCAUGGCUGUCAAGGGGCUGCCAUGCUUCUUCUUCUUUUUUCGGCCACUUCCCUCGAGUGAAAACUUUUCGGCCUUAAUGUUUAAUGCUUGUCUUAACGACGCGCACCUUUCACCCUUAUUGGAAUCCAUUUCUGACCACAUUUGAGUUUGGGUUUCAAGUUCAAUUUUGAAUUUUCAUGGGGCUUCUUGGGGAUUCUUGUUCACCGUAUUGUCCCCGACAAAACCCUUCGGUAUCGUCGGAUUCGGAACACUUUUAUUUCGGUGGGCCUUUGAGGUUUUCAUCUCAAAUCAAGGUAUGGGGUGUUAUAGUUUAUAUUCUUGUUAUAUUACAUGUUAUGGAUGCUUGUACUACUUGUUUACAUGCUUGGAUGUCAAAUCUAGAAUUUUUAAUUAAUUAUUUCUUUGUAUAAGAUUUAAUUUUCCCGGUUGCUUGUAUCUUUGUUUAAACAUGUAGCAUGAUAUUAAAUUAUCCCUUGAUAUGGUCAUUGACAUAUAUUAAAUUUAGAGCAUUUGGACAAGGAAUAAAGAUUUUAUUUAAUAUUUAUCUUGAAUAAAUAUUUAAUUCAUGUGGCCUUAACUAGCUUGAAAUCGAUGUGUGUUAGCAUAUUAAAUUAGGCCCUAGCAUACUCUUCAGCAUAUGUGAAUUUGAGAGUAUUUGAUGAUGUUUAAAAUCUAAAGACAAAUGAUUAAUUUGAUCAAUUAAUUUAUUCCGAGUGUAUUAUUCACUCCAUUGGAUUUCCGACUUGAUAAUCUUGGUAUGCAUGCCAUUUAGUUUCACAUAUAUUAAAUCUAGAAUAUUUGAUUAGGUUUUGAAACCUUUCAAUUAUUAUUUUUCUAGUAUUAAAGUUUAAUACUCUUGACCAUACAUUGCAUGAAAAUCACUUGUAUCGUGUUAGUAAAUCAAGUCUUGACAUGUUGUAUAACAUAUAUUAAUUUGAGAUCAUUUAGAUGAAUUUCAAAACCUAAAGAUUUUAAUUAAAUGAAAUAAUUAAAAUCCAUUCAAUAGCUUCUUGGUCUUGAUUAAGUUUCUAACUUGGAAUUCAUGCUUUUCUUGACAAGUUCCUUCACAUGUAUCAAUUGAGAAUAAUCUGAUAAGUUUUGAGACUUACAUUUGCUUAUUUUUUUUGUAUGGAAUUUAAAUCACAUGGUCGUGUCUCGUAUGAAAUGAACUUGUAAAUUGAUGUUGGACUUGUAUUUCAUGAGUUUUUAGCUUUUCAUCAUGUACCUAGACUCCUUGUAUCUUGAUCUCAUUAAGGUAGUUAAUGAACUAGCAUGGUUGUCGUAUAAUGAUUUAAGUUACUCAUGUGUUGUUAAAUAAGUAAUUGAAUCACGUGUCUUAUACUUGUGGUAUAUGUACUUCAAUGGAUUUCUUAUGCUAUAUAUUUUGGUUCUAAUCUAUAUAGAUGCAUACUAUGUUUUCUUGACAUGUUACAUGCCAUUAUAAUUGAUGAACAUAGGACAUGACUUGUGUGUUCCAAAAUCUUGGUUGUGCAUGAAAUGUGGUUAAUGCAUUUCUUGUAUUUUAAUACAAUCUUGACUUACACAACUUGUUGAUUUUGGGACUUGAGAUAUCAAUCAAGAAUAGUCAUGGCUAGGACUUGGUUCUAGUACAGGGGAAGGUACCCUUGGGUUGAUAGCCCUAAAGUGAUCCCAAGAAUAAGGGAAGGUACCAUUGGGUUGAUAACCCUAAAGUGAUCCCAACACUAGGGGAAGGUACCCUUGGGUUGAUAACCCUAAAGUGAUUCCAAGAGUACGGUUUUAAUCCGGGCGAUAUCCAAGUUUCCACAUUGUUUAAUUUCACUCUUUAGAUUUCAAGUGUUGCAUUCCUUGAACAUUUAAUUUUUUUUCGUGUUAUAGGAAAUGUUCCAUCCUUGUAUAAUUACAUAGAUAUUAUGUCUUGUUCUUGAUUCA